rnacentral:rRNA from 1 species
AUACGGAGGGGACAAGCGUUAUUCGGAAUCACUGGGCGUAAAGGACGCGUAGGCGGGUUAUUAAGUCGGGUGUGAAAUCCAAUGGCUCAACCAUUGAACUGCAUUCGAAACUGAUAACCUAGAGUAUGGAAGGGGCAGGUGGAAUUAGUGGUGUAGGGGUAAAAUCCGUAGAUAUCACUAGGAAUACCGAAAGCGAAGGCGACCUGCUGGGACAUUACUGACGCUGAGGCGUGAAAGCGUGGGGAGCAAACAGGAUUAGAUACCCUAGUAGUCC